rnacentral:rRNA from 1 species
UUAAGCGACUAAGCGUACACGGUGGAUGCCCUGGCAGUCAGAGGCGAUGAAGGACGUGCUAAUCUGCGAAAAGCGUCGGUAAGGUGAUAUGAACCGUUAUAACCGGCGAUGUCCGAAUGGGGAAACCCAGUGCAAUUCGUUGCACUAUCGUUAACUGAAUACAUAGGUUAACGAGGCGAACCGGGGGAACUGAAACAUCUAAGUACCCCGAGGAAAAGAAAUCAACCGAGAUUCCCCCAGUAGCGGCGAGCGAACGGGGAGCAGCCCAGAGUCUGAAUCAGCUUGUGUGUUAGUGGAACGGUCUGGAAAGUCCGACGGUACAGGGUGAUAGUCCCGUACACCAAAAUGCACAGGCUGUGAACUCGAAGAGUAGGGCGGGACACGUGGUAUCCUGUCUGAAUAUGGGGGGACCAUCCUCCAAGGCUAAAUACUCCUGACUGACCGAUAGUGAACCAGUACCGUGAGGGAAAGGCGAAAAGAACCCCGGCGAGGGGAGUGAAAAAGAACCUGAAACCGUGUACGUACAAGCAGUGGGAGCACCUUCGGGUGUGACUGCGUACCUUUUGUAUAAUGGGUCAGCGACUUAUAUUCUGUAGCAAGGUUAACCGUAUAGGGGAGCCGCAGGGAAACCGAGUCUUAACUGGGCGUUAAGUUGCAGGGUAUAGACCCGAAACCCGGUGAUCUAGCCAUGGGCAGGUUGAAGGUUGGGUAACACUAACUGGAGGACCGAACCGACUAAUGUUGAAAAAUUAGCGGAUGACUUGUGGCUGGGGGUGAAAGGCCAAUCAAACCGGGAGAUAGCUGGUUCUCCCCGAAAGCUAUUUAGGUAGCGCCUCGUGAAUUCAUCUUCGGGGGUAGAGCACUGUUUCGGCUAGGGGGUCAUCCCGACUUACCAACCCGAUGCAAACUACGAAUACCGAAGAAUGUUAUCACGGGAGACACACGGCGGGUGCUAACGUCCGUCGUGAAGAGGGAAACAACCCAGACCGCCAGCUAAGGUCCCAAAGUCAUGGUUAAGUGGGAAACGAUGUGGGAAGGCACAGACAGCCAGGAUGUUGGCUUAGAAGCAGCCAUCAUUUAAAGAAAGCGUAAUAGCUCACUGGUCGAGUCGGCCUGCGCGGAAGAUGUAACGGGGCUAAACCAUGCACCGAAGCUGCGGCAGCGACACUAUGUGUUGUUGGGUAGGGGAGCGUUCUGUAAGCCUGCGAAGGUGACCUGUGAGGGUUGCUGGAGGUAUCAGAAGUGCGAAUGCUGACAUAAGUAACGAUAAAGCGGGUGAAAAGCCCGCUCGCCGGAAGACCAAGGGUUCCUGUCCAACGUUAAUCGGGGCAGGGUGAGUCGACCCCUAAGGCGAGGCCGAAAGGCGUAGUCGAUGGGAAACAGGUUAAUAUUCCUGUACUUGGUGUUACUGCGAAGGGGGGACGGAGAAGGCUAUGUUAGCCGGGCGACGGUUGUCCCGGUUUAAGCAUGUAGGCUGGUUAUCCAGGCAAAUCCGGAUAAUCAAGGCUGAGGUGUGAUGACGAGGCACUACGGUGCUGAAGUAACAAAUGCCCUGCUUCCAGGAAAAGCCUCUAAGCAUCAGGUAACAUCAAAUCGUACCCCAAACCGACACAGGUGGUCAGGUAGAGAAUACCAAGGCGCUUGAGAGAACUCGGGUGAAGGAACUAGGCAAAAUGGUGCCGUAACUUCGGGAGAAGGCACGCUGGUGUGUAGGUGAAGCCCCUGCGGGUGGAGCUGAGACCAGUCGAAGAUACCAGCUGGCUGCAACUGUUUAUUAAAAACACAGCACUGUGCAAACACGAAAGUGGACGUAUACGGUGUGACGCCUGCCCGGUGCCGGAAGGUUAAUUGAUGGGGUUAUCCGUAAGGAGAAGCUCUUGAUCGAAGCCCCGGUAAACGGCGGCCGUAACUAUAACGGUCCUAAGGUAGCGAAAUUCCUUGUCGGGUAAGUUCCGACCUGCACGAAUGGCGUAAUGAUGGCCAGGCUGUCUCCACCCGAGACUCAGUGAAAUUGAACUCGCUGUGAAGAUGCAGUGUACCCGCGGCAAGACGGAAAGACCCCGUGAACCUUUACUAUAGCUUGACACUGAACAUUGAGCCUUGAUGUGUAGGAUAGGUGGGAGGCUUUGAAGCGUGGACGCCAGUCUGCGUGGAGCCAACCUUGAAAUACCACCCUUUAAUGUUUGAUGUUCUAACGUUGGCCCCUUACCGGGGUUGCGGACAGUGUCUGGUGGGUAGUUUGACUGGGGCGGUCUCCUCCCAAAGCGUAACGGAGGAGCACGAAGGUUAGCUAAUCCUGGUCGGACAUCAGGAGGUUAGUGCAAUGGCAUAAGCUAGCUUGACUGCGAGCGUGACGGCGCGAGCAGGUGCGAAAGCAGGUCAUAGUGAUCCGGUGGUUCUGAAUGGAAGGGCCAUCGCUCAACGGAUAAAAGGUACUCCGGGGAUAACAGGCUGAUACCGCCCAAGAGUUCAUAUCGACGGCGGUGUUUGGCACCUCGAUGUCGGCUCAUCACAUCCUGGGGCUGAAGUAGGUCCCAAGGGUAUGGCUGUUCGCCAUUUAAAGUGGUACGCGAGCUGGGUUUAGAACGUCGUGAGACAGUUCGGUCCCUAUCUGCCGUGGGCGCUGGAGAAUUGAGGGGGGCUGCUCCUAGUACGAGAGGACCGGAGUGGACGCAUCACUGGUGUUCGGGUUGUCAUGCCAAUGGCACUGCCCGGUAGCUAAAUGCGGAAGAGAUAAGUGCUGAAAGCAUCUAAGCACGAAACUUGCCCCGAGAUGAGUUCUCCCUGAGACUUUAAGUCUCCUGAAGGAACGUUAAAGACGAUGACGUUGAUAGGCCGGGUGUGUAAGCGCAGCGAUGCGUUGAGCUAACCGGUACUAAUGAACCGUGAGGCUUAACCUU